rnacentral:misc_RNA from 1 species
CAACCCUCAAGCCCUGGCUGCUUGGUGUUGGAGCGCUACAGCGCAGCGCUGUAGCCUCCCAAAUUCAGUGGCGGACCCGCUGAGGCCCCUAGCGCAGUAAAUUUUUUCUCGCUUCAGGGCGUCCCAGCGGCGACUUGCCGUAAAACCCCCACUAUUUUACAA